rnacentral:lncRNA from 1 species
CUAGGCACGUGAAGUUCAUAUUUAGACCCCGAAUAUCAGGAGCUUCGAAAGUGUAAAAAAAUGAUGGCAUCACUUGUUGCUGUAGCAAUGGUAUCCUGUGCAGACGGAUAGUUAUUGAUAAAGUGAGUCCGGAACUUCGUUAUCUGACAGCUUACAUGGUUUUUAUCGAUUUUAUUGGUGUGUUUGGACUGCUUGUUUCCUUGUUUCUUCAAUGUCCACAAAUUGAAAUGACAGGAACUACUCUCGUCGGACAUGAGUAUGGACAGAGGCGGAUUAAGGUCGGUUGAGGCCCCGGGCGCAGAAGAAAAUAUUAGGCACCUUAAAAAAGAGAGAGACAG